rnacentral:rRNA from 1 species
AUGGGCAUCAUCGGCAUCCGCACGGCCACCCUGCUCCUCGCUGCCCUCGCGUGGCGUAGUGUGCUCGUUGCCGCCGCCGGCGAGGCGGACGGCGUGUUCAACGUCAAGGACUACGGUGCUCGAGGCGACGGCACCACGGACGACACCAAGGCGUUCAUAGACGCAUGGAGCGCGGCGUGCGGCGCCAGAGGCUCGUCGGCGUCGCUGCUCGUACCGGCGGGCAAGUCCUUCCUCGUCGGCCCCGCCAGAUUCAGCGGGCCCUGCGCCUCCACCAGAAUUACCGUCCAGGUCAUGGGCACGAUUACGGCGCCACCGCCGGGCGCAUGGAGCGGGCAGAAAUAUUGGAUGAUGUUCUACCAGGUCCAGGGGCUCACGGUUACCGGCGGCAGCACCGGCUUGCUCGACGGCAGAGGCCGGUCGUGGUGGUGGAGCGAUCAAUGCAACCGCUACGGUGACAUAUAUAAGGCGCCGACGGCCUUGGUGGUCAUGAACUGCACCGACGUGGAGCUGAGCAAAUUCAGCAGCAAGAACAGCUCGCAGAUGCAUAUUGCCGUCAGCCAGAGCAGCAAGGUCCACCUGACGCAGCUGACCACCACCGCGCCCUGGGACAGCCCCAACACCGACGGCGUGCACAUCGACCAGAGCGAAGACGUCCGCGUCACCAGAUCGACCAUGGGCACCAGCGGCGAAUGCGUCUCCAUCGGCCCCGGGAGCCGAUUCGUCACCGUGGACGGAAUCGUCUGCGGCCCCGGCCGUGCUGUAAGUGUGGGGAGCCUUGGCAAGAAGGGAGCAACCGAAUCCGUGGAGUACAUCGACGUAAAAAACGUCCACUUCAUCAAUACCUUGAGUGGAGCAAGGAUCAAGACGUGGCAGGGUGGGAAAGGUUACGCGAGAUCCAUCUCCUUCACCAACAUAAACUUCACCAACGUGGACAAUCCUGUGGUCAUCAACCAGUUCUAA